rnacentral:rRNA from 1 species
GAUGAACGCUGGCGGCGUGCCUAACACAUGCAAGUCGAACGGAGAUUACGGACGGAAGUUUUCGGAUGGAAGCCUGUAAUUCUUAGUGGCGGACGGGUGAGUAACGCGUGGGCAACCUGCCCUAUACAGGGGGAUAGCAGCUGGAAACGGUGGGUAAGACCGCAAAGGUCGGUUAAAUCGAAUGAUUGGAUCGGGAAAUGAGCAAUCAGGUAUAGGAUGGGCCCGCGUCCGUUUAGCCAGUUGGCAGGGUAAAAGCCUACCAAAGCGACGAUCGGUAGCCGGACUGAGAGGUCGGACGGCCACAUUGGGACUGAGACACGGCCCAAACUCCUACGGGAGGCAGCAGUGGGGGAUAUUGCACAAUGGAGGAAACUCUGAUGCAGCGACGCCGCGUGAGUGAAGAAGUAUUUCGGUAUGUAAAGCUCUAUCAGCAGGGAAGAUGAUGACGGUACCUGACUAAGAAGCCCCGGCUAACUACGUG